UACAGAGGUCUCAAGCGUUGUUCGGAUUCAUUGGGCGUAAAGGGUGCGUAGGCGGCGCGGUAAGUCGGGUGUGAAAUCCUUGAGCUUAACUCAAGAAGUGCCCUAGAAACGGUAAGACUAGAGUACUGGAGAGGGUCGUGGAAUUCCCGGUGUAGCGGUGAAAUGCGUAGAGAUCGGGAGGAACACCAGAGGCGAAGGCGGCGACCUGGACAGUGACUGACACUCAACUACGAAAGCGUGGGGAGCAAACAGG
rnacentral:rRNA from 1 species